GCACACCUGGAAUGGUGAUGUCCAUAUACACUUUGCUAAGAAACCACCCAGAACCAACUUCAGAGCAGAUGAUUGCAGCUCUGGCUGGGAACUUGUGCCGCUGUACUGGAUACAGGCCAAUCUUAGAUGCCUGUAAAACCUUCUGUAAGGAAUCCAUUUGUUGUCAAAGAAAAGCAAAUGGAAAAUGUUGCUUGGAUCAGGAAGAUAAUUU